AAUAAAGUUGGAGGCAAUGAAAAAUUCUCUUCAUGUGGGCACCUUGAGAAUUUUGAGCCAGUGGUGCACCCGGCCGGCAAUUAA
rfam:Clostridium formicaceticum strain ATCC 27076, complete genome.